rnacentral:rRNA from 1 species
UACGUAGGUGGCAAGCGUUGUCCGGAAUUACUGGGUGUAAAGGGAGCGUAGGCGGGAGUGCAAGUUGAAUGUAUAAACUAUCGGCUCAACUGAUAGAAGCGUUCAAAACUGCACUUCUUGAGUGAUGGAGAGGCAGGCGGAAUUCCCGGUGUAGCGGUGGAAUGCGUAGAUAUCGGGAGGAACACCAGUGGCGAAGGCGGCCUGCUGGACAUUAACUGACGCUGAGGCGCGAAAGCGUGGGGAGCAAACAGG